rnacentral:rRNA from 1 species
CGUGUCGUGAGAUGUUGGGUUAAGUCCCGCAACGAGCGCAACCCUUGAUCUUAGUUGCCAGCAUUCAGUUGGGCACUCUAAGGUGACUGCCGGUGACAAACCGGAGGAAGGUGGGGAUGACGUCAAAUCAUCAUGCCCCUUAUGACCUGGGCUACACACGUGCUACAAUGGGCAGAACAAAGGGCAGUGAAGCCGCGAGGCUAAGCCAAUCCCACAAAUCUGUUCUCAGUUCGGAUCGCAGUCUGCAACUCGACUGCGUGAAGCUGGAAUCGCUAGUAAUCGCGGAUCAGCAUGCCGCGGUGAAUACGUUCCCGGGCCUUGUACACACCGCCCGUCACACCACGAGAGUUUGUAACACCCGAAGUCGGUGAGGUAACCUUUUGGAGCCAGCCGCCGAAGGUGGGACAGAUGAUUGGGGU